CCUAACACAUGCAAGUCGAACGGUAACAGGAAGAAGCUUGCUUCUUUGCUGACGAGUGGCGGACGGGUGAGUAAUGUCUGGGAAACUGCCUGAUGGAGGGGGAUAGCUACUGGAAACGGUAGCUAAUACCGCAUAACGUCGCAAAACCAAAGAGGGGGACCUUCGGGCCUCUUGCCAUCGGAUGUGCCCAGAUGGGAUUAGCUAGUAGGUGGGGUAACGGCUCACCUAGGCGACGAUCCCUAGCUGGUCUGAGAGGAUGACCAGCCACACUGGAACUGAGACACGGUCCAGACUCCUACGGGAGGCAGCAGUGGGGAAUAUUGCACAAUGGGCGCAAGCCUGAUGCAGCCAUGCCGCGUGUAUGAAGAAGGCCUUCGGGUUGUAAAGUACUUUCAGCGGGGAGGAAGGGAGUAAAGUUAAUACCUUUGCUCAUUGACGUUACCCGCAGAAGAAGCACCGGCUAACUCCGUGCCAGCAGCCGCGGUAAUACGGAGGGUGCAAGCGUUAAUCGGAAUUACUGGGCGU
rnacentral:rRNA from 1 species